UACGGAGGGGGCGAGCGUUGUCCGAAGUUACUGGGCGUAAAGGGUGCGUAGGCGGGUCUUUAAGUCAGGGGUGAAAUCCUGGAGCUCAACUCCAGAACUGCCUUUGAUACUGAAGAUCUUGAGUUCGGGAGAGGUGAGUGGAACUGCGAGUGUAGAGGUGAAAUUCGUAGAUAUUCGCAAGAACACCAGUGGCGAAGGCGGCUCACUGGCCCGAUACUGACGCUGAGGCACGAAAGCGUGGGGAGCAAACAGG
rnacentral:rRNA from 1 species